rnacentral:rRNA from 1 species
AUGAACGCUGGCGGCGUGCCUAAUCCAUGCAAGUCGAGCGAACAGACGAGGAGCUUGCUCCUCUGACGUUAGCGGCGGACGGGUGAGUAACACGUGGAUAACCUACCUAUAAGACUGGGAUAACUUCGGGAAACCGGAGCUAAUACCGGAUAAUAUAUUGAACCGCAUGGUUCAAUAGUGAAAGACGGUUUUGCUGUCACUUAUAGAUGGAUCCGCGCCGCAUUAGCUAGUUGGUAAGGUAACGGCUUACCAAGGCAACGAUGCGUAGCCGACCUGAGAGGGUGAUCGGCCACACUGGAACUGAGACACGGUCCAGACUCCUACGGGAGGCAGCAGUAGGAAAUCUUCCGCAAUGGGCGAAAGCCUGACGGAGCAACGCCGCGUGAGUGAUGAAGGUCUUCGGAUCGUAAAACUCUGUUAUUAGGGAAGAACAAAUGUGUAAGUAACUAUGCACGUCUUGACGGUACCUAAUCAGAAAGCCACGGCUAACUACGUG